CUGUCAAGCUGCUCGGUCAGCUUGCAGACCAUCAGGAUCCAAACCCAUCUGCACUGGUGCCCUGGAGUAAAACACCAGCAGCCUGGUCCCAGCCAAGGAGUCACCAGCUCUGCAGGUACAAAGGUGCUGAAGGUUGAUUUGCACCUUAGAGAAACCACGAACCAGGAGCACAGCCCUCGGCAAUAAAUGCCCCGCUGCCCUAAGCCAGGGCCCAGAUUUGAAGCACUUCUGGUGAGUGCUUCAAAAAUCUGCCUCCUGUUCAUGGAGACCUCAAUAGGUAGCACAAAGGCUUUUCUCCCCUGGCUCAGUUCUCCAUGGCUCGCGGUGCUGCCCGAAGCUUUUCAGCUCUUCCCUCCACGUGGCCACGGCGUUGGGCACAGACGCAGCUCUUCCUCGAUGAAGGCAUCGCUUUGUGUCACCACUUUGGUCUCUGGAAGAAAAAUUGUUCCUCCAGGUCUUGCCAUCUGCUGCUAUUUAAAGGAACAUCAUCAUCAUCACCAAUACGUUCCGCUGGGGGUCCUAAGGACACAGGCGACUGAAGUCAGGCUCUGCAGAGAGGAACCCAAAGCUUCCCCAGGCAAACAGAAGUGAUCUGAGGGGCUGCAAACCCCUGAUGGCCACUGCAGCUGCUGCAGGUUUUUUGCAGUUAUUGCUUCCUGGGGAUGACCGCGAGGUCACGGGACCUUCCUGAUUUGUGUGCCGCCUGCUGACCUGCCACAUCGUGGGGUUUUUCUUCUGGUUUCUUGGGUACAGUUUCAGCAGAAGAUGAGAGAACCCCCUGGGGCUGGCACCUGCAUCUCUCACAUCCCAGCUGAGCGCCCUAGGGACUGCAUAGGAUAACGCACAUUAAAAAAAAAAAAAAAAAAAAAAGGAGAGAAAUAGGUAUGAAAUGUUGUUUUGGCCCUCAUGUUUGUCCCACAGUAUUAAAAAACAUAAAUAAAUCUGGAAAAAAAAAAAAUACAGGGGCAAGGAGCGUCCCUCUUUGGAGGUCUUCAGAACCCAGGUUCUUCCCAACCUCAACUGUUCUGCAAUUUUGUGACAAAAUCCUGAGCUAUUUGGUUUAUUUAGAUUUACUGAAGUGCCACUGUGCUUGUCUCUGCCUGGUGCCAGCACCCAGGCUCCUGUAACCAUCCCUAGCCAUGUGCACCCAUAUGUGACGUGCAAGCAGCCACGCGCAGGAGCUGCCUGGCAAAGCUUUGCAGUGCCCACAGCUUGGCACAAGCUGGGUGUUUGUAGCUCCUGGUCCUGCUCCGUGGGCUCGGAGCAGCUGACCAAGCUGUGUGUCACCCCCCCGGGCUCAGGACCAGGGCUUUCCAGAAGAGGAGCUCACGCUUUGCUUUGAAGACAGCAAGGGACAAGGAAUCCGCGGCAUUCCUGGCGUAUUCCGGCGGCGGGCUGCCCUUGUUGAAAACCAGAUGUCUCCUUUCCAAUUCGCAUGUUGCUGACUUCCAGUUCCAGCCCUCACACCUUCUUCUGCUUUUUUUUCGGAGCCCGAAUCGAUCGCCUCCCCUCCCUCCCAUCUGCCGCUGCCGCCCAGCGAAGCACCAGCCUCACCUGUCCCCAAGCAGCUUGCCCUCCCUGGGCGUGAAUAAAGCAGAGCUAUUGGGGUCGCAAAGAUCAACGACGUCGUAAAACACUUCAAGCGUAUUCCUUUGCAUCGGGCCUGGGCUGUGAUGGCCAUUCCGUGGACACAAGGCCUUAAUGUGCACAGCCCUGAUCUGUUUUUCCCAUCGCUGACACUUCGUUGACCUACCUGCUUAGGAGAGUGAUGUGGGUCUGUCCUUAGUGCAAUUUUCCUCCUUUUGGAGAGUGAUAAAUCUGUUAGGGCAUGUAUUUAUUUUUUUUCCUGCUUUACAGCUUGCCAUAAAUACUCAAUAGUAUCGUCUUACUCGGGCUGGUGGCUCCUGGGCUAGCAAUGCUCAGUGCCCCCACGAGCAGCUCCUGGUGGGGCACGGGGGAGGCUGGGGACAGCCAAAGCACCCACACCUGUGAUGCCAGCACGGAGUCCUCAUGAGCAAGAAAAGAAGGAUUUUCUUCUUAUUGAUGGCUUAAAGGUCAAGCUUGGCUUUGUUCUGUACACACAGAAUAAUUUAGCUUUUCUCUUUGGUGCUCUCCCCUGUAGGUAAUAAAUUAAUUUAAUUUGA